rnacentral:tRNA from 1 species
GCGGCCGUAGUCUAGUCUGGCUAACCUCGCCAAUGGACCCCAGCCUUCCAAGCUGGUGACCCGGGUUCAAAUCCCGGCGGCCGCA